CAGGUUUAUCUUUUCCCCCAGUAUUUACACUGCACCAUAUCGCUUUUCCUCAUGUAGAGAACAUUAUGAAGGGUCAUUUUUGAUUUGGUAGGUCUAAAUCAGGUGCUUGGAUUAGUGUUUCCUUUAGGCUUGGGUGGUGAAUAACAUCCAUUUGUGUUUGUACUGCGCAGAGUUGCUUCCUGGUGGUCAAUGUGGAUCAGCUAAACUGUAACAUCUACUGCAUCUCCAGAAUCGUAAUGGCUGUAUAUUCAUAUCCUUCCCCGGUGUUAGUAUCAUACCUGAUUUGCUCUUCCAUCAGAGACUAAUGCACUCCUACUGGUUGAACUGAUAUCAACCCUGAGAUGUGUUUUGGAAGGUGUUGAGAAAAGAAGCAAGGAACAGGAAGUGAACUUCAGGGCAACAGCUCCUGACCCAGUUCUAGAACAGGUGAUCAAGAAGAGGAAC
rnacentral:lncRNA from 1 species